UUUGUGUUUGUUUUCUUGCAUUUUUGCCGUGUUGUAUUUUUUCUCUGGCGGAGAGCUAACGCUAAGAACGUAGCUGUUUACAAGGAAAUGCUCCGUCAAAUUGUUUACCAGUUAAUAUUUCGGGUUUAUGAAGACUGUCAAUGUUAUAAAAGUGUAUGUAUGCUGUGUAAAUGAACGGUGUGUGCAGUAGUUAGUGUGGGAGACCGCUGCCAUUUUGAGAUGAAAAAACACCGUAGCAGUAACGUGACAACUCAGAGACUGUGAGAGAUUUUAUUGUGUGAUUUGAGGAUUUAAAAAGAGAUUUAUUGUGUUUAUGACCUGUUGCACAGGUCAGGUUUUUUGCUUAGUUUGAAGCUCGGUCGGAGCGAGGAUUGGUCUUCCGUGUGCAGGCGAGCACAUGCACAGAAGGGAUUCAAGAUGGCGACCCAGACCUUCAACUCAUCUCCAUCGCGUCAGUGAGGAAAUCUUCUUCGUACAGUGAUUCGCUGCCAGAGUGGCCGCAUCGACCUGUCAUCCGCUGCUCCGGAAGUGGAUUUCCGCCUCGUCACCGCCUCCACAACUGCUCCUCUGUGUCUCUGCCCAGGUGUUCCUCGUUUUCGGCUGGUCCCUCCCCUGUUGCGAAGCUGGUCCCAGCCGCCUAUCACAAGCCUGCCUGGUCCCGUCCUCAACCGUAUAAAAGCUGCCUUGUGAAAACCACAGCCAUGAUAUUCAGCUGUCACUGCAGAGACAUAAAGACACAAACAUCAUCUCCCUCUCAGCCCUUUAUUCAUCAUCACGGCAGAGUCAACUGACCAAUCAGGGCUCAGUUCUGCCAUCAGAUUCUGAUUCAGUCACAGAGUGAGGAUCAGCUGUCCUGAAGAAUAAUCAACAGCUGAUGUUACAAAAACCCCUGAGGUGGUUUAACAUCUGCCCCUUCUAACAUCUGGAUCAAAAAGGGCUGCAACAUGAAAACAGAUGUGGACAUGUUUGUCAGGUGACCACAUGAGGGCGCUGCUGCAUACCUGUACCUUGGUUGUGAGGUCAGCUGAUCAUGAAGCCUCUGUUGGUACCUGAUAGUUUCUGGGUGCAGGCUCUUACCUGCUCUACAACUAAUGUUUAUGUGUUGUUUUUUAUCAACAAUAUAAAAUGAGUAAAAUCCUUCCUCUACAGUGGCCCUUAGAGCUCAAAGCACUGCACCUUAAGAAAACCUCUUCAUCAGUUUGACAAGUGCUGCAAACACAAGAGGAAGUGUUUCUAGGGGACCUAGGCCACCGUAGAAUGCGGCCCUGAAUUGAGACACACUUGUUGUUUAAUGCUUUGUGACAACAAGCCUGGUCCAUCACCUUUUAGUGUCCCCUGGAAGCACUUCCAGUAUCAAAUUGGUGAAGAUGUUUUCUGAAGUUGCAGUGCGUUGAGCUCUCAGGGCCACAAUACUCCUCUCCUCUCUUGUGCUGCUCUGUCGCCCCCUGCUGUCAGAAAUGUAUACCAACCUCCAUCUUUAUACAGAUACAAACAAUACAGGAACCUGUUCCUAACAGAACCACAGGGAACCUCCAGAGAGACGAUCUUAGUUACAUGUUCGGU